GGCCCCAUGGUCUAACGGCUAGGACACCACCCUUUCAAGGUGGCAAUCCGGGUUCGAUUCCCGGUGGGGUCACCA
rnacentral:tRNA from 1 species